GCGCUGAUAGUCGUGUGAGGUCAUCGUGGAGAAGGCCCCUCAGGCUCGUAUCGACAAGAAGUAUUUGGUUCCUUUGCCAGUCGGUCAAUUCUACUUCCUCAUGCGCAAGAGAAUUCCCCUGAGACCCGAGGAUGCCCUCAUCUUCUUCGUCAACAAUGUGAUUCCUCCCACCAGCGCCACCAUGGGAUCGCUCUACCAGGGAAGGAACCGAGAUGAGACCAGACUCAGCCCUCCAGUGAGCCCAGGAGACCACCGAGGGACACCCACGCACCUCAUGACAUGGGGGAGGGCGGAUGGAGAUGGUGGGAGAGUGAAGCAACCCACCCCCUGUGUAUGCUCAGGCCCAAGGUUACGUCAGGGAGGGAGACAGAGACGAGACCACUGAGCCGAAGGAACCAGUCAGGCCUUCAAGAUGCUGCCUGGAUGCUGGGGGAGACCAGACGAGACGAGUCCUGUUGGGGAGAAGAUGGAGGGAGAUUAAUUGAAGGGCAGAGAUGAGAGAGAGAUGGAACUAACUCUCUCUCCCUGUAUUUUUAUAAAGAGAAGACUAAUAAAGUUUGGAAAUAUA